UUCUCGCCCUCUCACCGCCACCUCCUUGCAUCCACUCCCUCCUGCAAUUUGCAAAGCUCCCCUGUCCCUCGCGCUUCAAGGUGCCAAGAGGACAAGGAACCCCCUCUUGGUCGGAAGAGACUAAAGCCGAGACACCAGAGAGCUCCCGGCUGAUCUGACUGUCGCUAUUUUUCGCUGUAACUUCAGGAGAGGAGGAAGGAAAAUUCUUGAGCGUCUGGGCUGACUUCUCAGCACUCUUCACCCUCCCACCCCCAACCCCCACCUCUGUCGGAGAGGCUCCCAGGGGAAAAAGAUUUUGCAGGGUUUGGGUGUUUUUUGUUUUAAGUGACACAAAAAAUGAGGGCGGUGGGGGGAGAACUAGUCAAAAUAGUUUUUAGGAACUCAAGUACAUAGCUGGACAUUUCUUUUUUCUUAUAUAUUCAAUCUUCUUAUUCCCAGAGAACAAGAAGGAGUUGGGUUUUUUGGGUUUUUUUGGGGGGGACUGAAAAACUGUCAGCUUGGUGAUUAAAAUAAGUUGAAAAAUCUUCGCUGGGGGAAAGCAUCGGCCGUUUUCUAUGAAUUUAAAUCUUUUAUUAAGUCUAUUUUACAUCUAAGACUAAGCUUCGUGUCUGUCUUCCCCACCGCUCCCGGGAAAAAAUUAAAAAUACAAACUAAAAAAUUCAAAA